rnacentral:tRNA from 1 species
GGUUAUGGCUCAGCGGUAGAGCGCUUGCCUAGCAUGUGUGAGGCACUGGGUUCGAUUCUCAGCACCA